GUGCUUGCUUUAGCAGCACACACUAAAAUUGGAAUGAUACAGAGAAGAUUGGAAUGGCCCCUGCACAAGAAGGGCACACAAACGCAUGCAGUGCUCUGUAUUUUU
ensembl:snRNA U6 U6 spliceosomal RNA